rnacentral:rRNA from 1 species
AAGACCUUGCACUUUUGGAGCGGCCGAUGUCUGAUUAGCUAGUUGGUGGGGUAAUGGCCUACCAAAGCUUCGAUCAGUAGCUGGUCUGAGAGGACGGCCAGCCACACUGGGACUGAGACACGGCCCAGACUCCUACGGGAGGCAGCAGUGGGGAAUUUUGGACAAUGGGCGCAAGCCUGAUCCAGCCAUGCCGCGUGAGUGAAGAAGGCCUUCGGGUUGUAAAGCUCUUUCAGCCGGGAAGAAAAGGUUGCGACUAAUAAUCGCAAUCCAUGACGGUACCGAAAGAAGAAGCACCGGCUAACUACGUGCCAGCAGCCGCGGUAAUACGUAGGGUGCGAGCGUUAAUCGGAAUUACUGGGCGUAAAGGGUGCGCAGGCGGUUUUGUAAGUCAGAUGUGAGAUCCCCGGGCUUAACCUGGGAACU